rnacentral:rRNA from 1 species
UACGUAGGGGGCAAGCGUUGUCCGGAAUCAUUGGGCGUAAAGAGCGUGUAGGCGGCCCGGUAAGUCCGCCGUGAAAGUCCAGGGCUCAACCCUGGGAUGCCGGUGGAAACUGUCGGGCUCGAGUCCGGAAGAGGCGAGUGGAAUUCCUGGUGUAGCGGUGAAAUGCGCAGAUAUCAGGAGGAACACCUAUGGCGAAGGCAGCUCGCUGGGACGGUACUGACGCUGAGGCGCGAAAGCGUGGGGAGCGAACAGG